UACGAAGGGGGCUAGCGUUGCUCGGAAUCACUGGGCGUAAAGCGCACGUAGGCGGCUUGUUAAGUCAGGGGUGAAAUCCUGGAGCUCAACUCCAGAACUGCCUUUGAUACUGGCGAGCUUGAGUCCGGGAGAGGGAUGCGGAAUUCCAGGUGUAGCGGUGAAAUGCGUAGAUAUCUGGAGGAACACCGGUGGCGAAGGCGGCAUCCUGGACCGGCAUUGACGCUGAGGCGCGAAAGCUAGGGGAGCAAACGGG
rnacentral:rRNA from 1 species